CGACCUCAGAGCAGGCGAGACUACCCGCUGAAUUUAAGCAUAUUACUAAGCGGAGGAAAAGAAACUAACAAGGAUUCCCCCAGUAGCGGCGAGCGAACAGGGAAGAGUCCAGCACCGAACCCCGCAGGCUGCCGCCUGUCGUGGCAUGUGGUGUUUGGGAGGGUCCACUACCCCGACGCCUCGCGCCGAGCCCAAGUCCAACUUGAAUGAGGCCACGGCCCGUAGAGGGUGCCAGGCCCGUAGCGGCCGGUGCGAGCGUCGGCGGGACCUCUCCUUCGAGUCGGGUUGCUUGAGAGUGCAGCUCCAAGUGGGUGGUAAACUCCAUCUGAGACUAAAUAUGACCACGAGACCGAUAGCGAACAAGUACCGUGAGGGAAAGUUGAAAAGAACUUUGAAGAGAGAGUUCAAAAGUACGUGAAACCGUUCUGGGGUAAACGUGAGAAGUCCGAAAGGUCGAACGGGUGAGAUUCACGCCCAUCCGGCCACUGGCCUCCGCCCUCGGCAGAUGGGGCCGGCCGCCCGCGCGGAGCAAUCCGCGGCGGGGUCGUGUCCGGUUGCCUUUCCACUCGCCGCGGGGUGGGGCCGUUCCGGUGUGCGGUGGGCCGCACUUCUCCCCUAGUAGGACGUCGCGACCCGCUGGGUGCCGGCCUACGGCCCGGGUGCGCAGCCUGUCCUUCCGCGGGCCUCGGUUCGCGUCUGUUGGGCAGAGCCCCGGUGUCCUGGCUGGCUGCCCGGCGGUAUAUCUGGAGGAGUCGAUUCGCCCCUUUGGGCGCUCGGGCUCCCGGCAAGCGCGCGCGGUUCUUCCCGGAUGACGGACCUACCUGGCCCGGCCCCGGACCCGCGCCGCUGUUGGCUCGGGAUGCUCUCGGGCGGAAUAAUCGCUCCCGUCAGCGGCGCUUCAGCUUUGGACAAUUUCACGACCCGUCUUGAAACACGGACCAAGGAGUCUAACAUGUGCGCGAGUCAUUGGGCUGUACGAAACCUAAAGGCGUAAUGAAAGUGAAGGUCUCGCCUUGCGCGGGCCGAGGGAGGAUGGGGCUUCCCCGCCCUUCACGGGGCGGCGGCCUCCGCACUCCCGGGGCGUCUCGUCCUCAUUGCGAGGUGAGGCGCACCUAGAGCGUACACGUUGGGACCCGAAAGAUGGUGAACUAUGCCUGGCCAGGACGAAGUCAGGGGAAACCCUGAUGGAGGUCCGUAGCGAUUCUGACGUGCAAAUCGAUCGUCGGAGCUGGGUAUAGGGGCGAAAGACUAAUCGAACCAUCUAGUAGCUGGUUCCCUCCGAAGUUUCCCUCAGGAUAGCUGGUGCUCGUACGAGUCUCAUCCGGUAAAGCGAAUGAUUAGAGGCCUUGGGGCCGAAACGACCUCAACCUAUUCUCAAACUUUAAAUGGGUGAGAUCUCCGGCUUGCUUGAUAUGCUGAAGCCGCGAGCAAACGACUCGGAUCGGAGUGCCAAGUGGGCCACUUUUGGUAAGCAGAACUGGCGCUGUGGGAUGAACCAAACGCCGAGUUAAGGCGCCCGAAUCGACGCUCAUGGGAAACCAUGAAAGGCGUUGGUUGCUUAAGACAGCAGGACGGUGGCCAUGGAAGUCGGAAUCCGCUAAGGAGUGUGUAACAACUCACCUGCCGAAGCAACUAGCCCUGAAAAUGGAUGGCGCUGAAGCGUCGUGCCUAUACUCGGCCGUCAGUCUGGCAGUCAUGGCCGGUCCUUGCGGCCGGCCGCGAAGCCCUGACGAGUAGGAGGGUCGCGGCGGUGGGCGCAGAAGGGUCUGGGCGUGAGCCUGCCUGGAGCCGCCGUCGGUGCAGAUCUUGGUGGUAGUAGCAAAUACUCCAGCGAGGCCCUGGAGGGCUGACGCGGAGAAGGGUUUCGUGUGAACAGCCGUUGCACACGAGUCAGUCGAUCCUAAGCCCUAGGAGAAAUCCGAUGUUGAUGGGGGCCGUCAUAGCAUGAUGCGCUUUGUGCUGGCCCCCGUUGGGCGAAAGGGAAUCCGGUUCCUAUUCCGGAACCCGGCAGCGGAACCGAUACAAGUCGGGCCCCUCUUUUAGAGAUGCUCGUCGGGGUAACCCAAAAGGACCCGGAGACGCCGUCGGGAGAUCGGGGAAGAGUUUUCUUUUCUGCAUGAGCGUUCGAGUUCCCUGGAAUCCUCUAGCAGGGAGAUAGGGUUUGGAACGCGAAGAGCACCGCAGUUGCGGCGGUGUCCCGAUCUUCCCCUCGGACCUUGAAAAUCCGGGAGAGGGCCACGUGGAGGUGUCGCGCCGGUUCGUACCCAUAUCCGCAGCAGGUCUCCAAGGUGAAGAGCCUCUAGUCGAUAGAAUAAUGUAGGUAAGGGAAGUCGGCAAAUUGGAUCCGUAACUUCGGGAUAAGGAUUGGCUCUGAGGAUCGGGGCGUGUCGGGCUUGGUCGGGAAGUGGGUCAGCGCUAACGUGCCGGGCCUGGGCGAGGUGAGUGCCGUAGGGGUGCCGGUAAGUGCGGGCGUUUAGCGCGGGCGUGGUCUGCUCUCGCCGUUGGUCGGCCUCGUGCUGGCCGGCGGUGCAGGAUGCGCCCCGGUGCUUCAACCUGCGUGCAGGAUCCGAGCUCGGUCCCGUGCCUUGGCCUCCCACGGAUCUUCCUUGCUGCGAGGCCGCGUCCGCCUUAGCGUGCUCCUCCGGGGGCGCGGAUUCUCUUCGGCCGCCAUUCAACGAUCAACUCAGAACUGGCACGGACUGGGGGAAUCCGACUGUCUAAUUAAAACAAAGCAUUGCGAUGGCCCUAGCGGGUGUUGACGCAAUGUGAUUUCUGCCCAGUGCUCUGAAUGUCAACGUGAAGAAAUUCAAGCAAGCGCGGGUAAACGGCGGGAGUAACUAUGACUCUCCUGGAUGGCACCCUGCUCCAGCCGCCGUCGACCAUCCCUGGGCUGGUGGACUUCUGGCGCAGCCUCUUCACGACAGAGCCACCUUCCAACGCUGGCUCUAUUCCCGACCGGCUUCUCCCGCGCUCGGAGUCUGUUGACUUCGAGCGCCUAUGGAGGCCGAUCACUGCAGAAGAGGUUGCGGCCGCCCUGCCGCCCAGAGGCUCCGUUGCCGGCCCUGACGGCCUCUCGCCGGUGCAGCUGCGCCGCCUUCCAGCGGAGGUCACCACCAAACUCCUAAACCUUUUCCUGCUUACCCGCAAGCUCCCCCCUUCCCUCCUCCGAGCCAGGACUUCUUUGCUGCCUAAGACAGCCGCCCCAGCAUCCCCCGCUGACUUUCGGCCCAUCACCGUCUGCUCGGUGCUAGCCCGAACCUUCCAUAAGGUUCUGGCGACUCGCCUGAUGCAGAUGUGUGCUGUGGACGAACGUCAGCGGGCUUUCAUCCCAAGGGAUGGGAUGCUGGAGAACACUUUCCUCCUCGACCGGAUACUCGUCGGCGCCGUCCGCCGCUGUCGUUCUGUGUUCAUGGCAUCUCUCGAUGUGUCCAAGGCGUUCGAUUCGUUGGACCAUGCGGCUUUGCGUCCUGUGCUUAAAGCCCAUGGUCUGCCGGACGAAUUCAUUGACUACGUCGAGGGCUGCUAUGCGGACAGCACGACGGUAAUUGCGGGGGGUGGCGACGAGUCCCCGGCCGUGCGGCCAGCAAGAGGUGUUCGGCAAGGAGAUCCUCUGUCCCCUCUCCUGUUCAAUUUCGCUGUUGAUUAUGUUCUAGAUCAGCUGCCCUCACACGUAGGUGUCAAGGUAUUGGGCCGCCAGACGAACGCGGCGGCCUUCGCGGAUGACAUCCUGCUCUUCGCCUCCACGAGGGGGGGCCUGCAGUCCCUUAUCAACGCAGCAGUAGCAGCCCUCGACCAGCUGGGGCUGCGUGUUAACCCGCGGAAGUGUCUCACCCUCGCACUCGUGGCGUCCGGCCGCGAGAAGAAAGUGAAAGUGGAUGCGAGCGUCACCUUCACGGCCGGCGAAACCACCAUGCCGGCGUUGGGAGUGGGUGAGACCUUCCGCUACCUGGGACUGCAGUUCUCCUCCUCUGGGCGGUGUCUCUUCCAUCCGAGGCACCACAUCGAGGAGCAGCUGUCGAUCAUCACGCGGGCGCCGCUGAAGCCGCAGCAGCGGCUCUUUGCACUUCGUGAGGUCCUUCUCCCGGGCCUGUAUCAUGGCCUAGCACUGAGUCGCACCCGCAUCAGUGCGCUCAAGGCCAUGGACAAUUGUGUUCGAGCCGCCGUGAGGAGAUGGUUCCGCCUCCCAGCCGACACCCCCUUGGGCUACUUUCACGCUCCAAUUGCCCAUGGGGGCCUUGGGAUUCCAUCAGCCCGCUGGAUAGGGCCAACCCUGAGGCGGGGCAGGCUCCUCACCCUAUUGCAGCUCGAGACCACCACCACCGACGCAGACCUGGGGGAGGCACGACACGAAGUGGCGGCGCUUGAACGACACCUCACGUGGGAGGGCCAUCUGCUGCCAACGGCUGCAAAAGUUGGUGAGAUGUGGGCGGCGCGCCUGCAUAUUUCCUUCGACGGGGCAGCUCUCUCGUCGUCGGCCAGGACAUCAGGCCAACAUAGCUGGGUCGAGGACACCAGUCGCUUCCUGUCUGGCCGUGACUACGUCGCGUGCAUCCGCACGCGCAUUAACGCUAUACCAUCCAAGGCGCGCAGGAGUCGCGGCCGAGACAGGGAGAAGAUGUGUCGCGCAAGAUGCAACGCCGUCGAGACCGCGAACCACGUCGUCCAGGGCUGCGGGCUGACCAGCCGAGCCCGGGUGCGACGACACGACGCGGUUGUGAAAUACGUCGCGCGCGGGCUGGCUCAACGAGGGUUCGACGUGUCUGUCGAGCCACACCUUCGAACACCAGAGGGAGUCCGCAAGCCCGACGUUGUGGCGUCUAAGGACGGCGUGGUGCAUGUCAUCGACGCACAAAUCGUCGGCGACCAUCUUGACACCGACUGGUGUCACCGGCAGAAGGCGGCGAAAUACGACGUCCCGUCGGUGCGGCAAGCCGUCGGCGCUCUCCGACCUGCAGCCAGCAGCAUACAGUUUAGAACAGUGACCCUGAACUGGAGGGGGA